AGGAGCGUAGCUCAGAUGGUAGAGCGCUCGCUUAGUAGGUGAUAGGUACAGGGAUUGAUACCUUGCGCCUCCA